rnacentral:rRNA from 1 species
CCUACGGGGGGCAGCAGUGGGGAAUAUUGGACAAUGGGCGAAAGCCUGAUCCAGCCAUGCCGCGUGUGUGAAGAAGGCCUUCGGGUUGUAAAGCACUUUCAGUGGGGAAGAAAGCCUUGGGGCUAAUACCCUCGAGGAAGGACAUCACCCACAGAAGAAGCACCGGCUAACUCCGUGCCAGCAGCCGCGGUAAUACGGAGGGUGCGAGCGUUAAUCGGAAUUACUGGGCGUAAAGCGCGCGUAGGCGGUCUGAUAAGCCGGUUGUGAAAGCCCCGGGCUCAACCUGGGAACGGCAUCCGGAACUGUCAGGCUAGAGUGCAGGAGAGGAGAGUAGAAUUCCCGGUGUAGCGGUGAAAUGCGUAGAGAUCGGGAGGAAUACCAGUGGCGAAGGCGGCCUUCUGGACUGACACUGACGCUGAGGUGCGAAAGCGUGGGUAGCAAACAGGAUUAGAUACCCGGGUAGUC